AGCCUCGACAUUCCAUCUGCUCCCCAGGCGGAGCGUGCUCGGUGGUUCUACUCCUAGCAGGCUCGGACUCGGCACUCCGUCCGCUCCCUAGGCAGCAAUGCCUUCAGAUGUCCUAGCGGCCUUGACAUCGUUCCGAGUGCUGGGCGCCAUGCAGGUGUUUGACAAAAUGUCCAUGUCGUCUAUCAUGGUCGUGUCAUGCCCAGCGUUGGGAGAUCGUGCUCACCUACUGCAGCUAAUCGUAUAAAGCGACUUUAGCUUUCGUCUGGGAACAAUUUAUUUUUUAGGUUCUCAGUGCCAAAUAGCUUGGCGGGCUAGAGGAUGUGAAAAGGAUUCUUCUAGAUACUAUUCUGGUAAAUUUGACUUGGUUCAGCAGUAAAUAUCAGCAACACCAAUAUGACGCUCAAUUAUAGGUAAAAACAAGUGUUUUCCCUACAAUAGUUUUGGGUUUUUGUGGGAUGACCUUUUCUUUUGACUGAUAUUUCAGCUCCCUUUGACGUAUAAUCACCUGAUUUCUUCUAAAUUGCGCAAGCGAUCAGGUGUCUGGGUAUAUGGACCUCCGGGAACAGGGAAGGUAGGUUUGAAAAGGUUUCACACGAAUUAAAUUAUAUUUUUUUGUUUAGUUACCAUAACAAGUGCAUUCUGUCUCUUAGGAGACAUCCGAUAACAAGUGCAUCCUAAAGACAUGGGAUCGCUAAAAUGAAUGUAUGUUGGACUUCUAGGCUUUACUCGCGAAAGCCUGAAUACUCACUGAACUUUCGUAGCG
rnacentral:lncRNA from 7 species